CAUAAUUAAACGGGUUUAGAGUCUGAAAAAACUCGUAAAAUCUUGUGGUGUCAUCAACUUCUUCUUUCGAAGUAUUUACGAGACAGGAGCCAAAUAACAGCACAAAAUGU